ACCCGUCGGUUCACAGGAAGCGUUUACCCUCUAAUGGGAGGCAUGCAUGUCGCCCUUUUCAAAUCUAACAAUUCUGUUAAUGUUAAGUUCAAUUCACGCUCCCGUUAAGUGAGUCGAUCUGGUUCAACUGGUUAGGAAGAGACAAAACCACCAAUAAAAAGCCUUUUUUUCCUCUUAUUCGUUUGAAUUCCCCUUCCCCCAUUUUCAUUUUCACCUGAGCCCUAGCCCAAGAGCAAGAGACCACCGACAGCGAUUUCACCAAGUUCUGACGGCAUGAAUCCAACUGGCGAUAAGAAUAAGUCGAAUCCCUUCUUCUCAUUUUCCUUCCAACCCUAUUAUUCUUCUUUGUUAAUAUCUUCUUCCUUUCUCUUCUAGCAAUAGACCACCGGCGACGAUUCCACUGUUUCACCGAAUUCCAACGACAUGUAGUCAACCGGCGGAGGCCACCGACAGUGAUUUCAUUUUUUCACCAAGCUCCGACAGCGAUUGCCUUCUAAUUCUGAUGGCAUGUCACCUAGCGGGAGGUUGGUGCCGUCAAGCUCGAAGAAACAAUUGUGCCUCCGAGUUUUCGCAUGCUGUGUUGACUAUGACGAACCCAAACAAUAUUGAAUGGAAAACGGAAAGAACCUGUUUCAAGGGGUACGAGUGUUUGUUGUUUAUAUGUUCCAGGCAAAGAACCUGAUUUCCUUUCAUUGGAGCCUUUUAAUUUUGAGCUUCUUACAGUUUCUCCGGUGAAAUUAUUAUCAAGCAAAAUCCAAUUUGCUCCUAUUGGAUUAGUCGACAUGCUUAAUACUAGUGAUGCCAUUCAAUGACUA